UACGGGGGGAGCAAGCGUUGUUCGGAUUUACUGGGCGUAAAGGGCGCGUAGGCGGCCAGCACAAGUCAGUUGUGAAAUCUCCGGGCUUAACUCGGAAAGGUCAACUGAUACUGUGCGGCUAGAGUGCGGAAGGGGCAACUGGAAUUCUCGGUGUAGCGGUGAAAUGCGUAGAUAUCGAGAGGAACACCUGCGGCGAAGGCGGGUUGCUGGGCCGACACUGACGCUGAUGCGCGAAAGCGUGGGGAGCAAACAGG
rnacentral:rRNA from 1 species